GGAUGUAGCGCAGUUGGUAGCGCGUCUGGUUUGGGACCAGAAUGUCGCAGGUUCAAGUCCUGUCAUCC
rnacentral:tRNA from 1 species